rnacentral:sRNA from 1 species
CAUUCCACUGCCCCAGAAUCCCAGGGGGCCGUGACAGCACCCACUGACACUCCAUCAAGGAAGCUGCCACCCAAGAGAGCAGAGGGAGACAUCAAGCCAUACUCCUCUAGUGACCGAGAAUGGGGACUCCCCCAGGUCUGGUAGCCCAAAGCUGCUGCUACAGCCGCCAUGGGGGGGUGAAUUCCUCAUCCCCCAAUAUAGGUAAGUAUUCACUCCUCCCUACCCUCAAAUCAAGUAGGCCACAUUCACUAUCUACUCCUGCCUCCCCAUUCACAUGCCUGAUAUUUCCACAGGCAACCAAGACUCCAAGCAGGGAGAACAGGAAACAAAGAAUAGGUCUGCCAGUGAGGAGCAGGCCUUGUCACAGGAUGGGUCUGGGGAGAAGCCCAUGCACACAGCUCCUCCACAGUCCCCGACCCCGGCCCCGGCCCCACCAGCCCAGUCCUGGACAGUGGGUGGGGACAUACUCAACGCCAGGUUCAUUCGAAACCUGCAGGAACGUCGCAGCACCAGGCCUUGGUGACCGCAUCUUCAAAGUAUUAUUUCUCCCUCACUACAGGAAAGAGCCAAAGCUCAACCCUCAUAAUAGAUGGAUACAUUCAUUCAUUCAUUCAUUCAUUCGUUCAGCAGGCUUAUCAGAUUUAAGUCAUUUGUAUCUUUUAACCAGACCAAUAAAAGUAUUUAUUUUUAUCACAAGA